UACGGAGGGGCGAGCGUUGUCCGAAGUUACUGGGCGUAAAGCGCGCGUAGGCGGGUUGGCAAGUCCGCUGUGAAAGCCCGAGGCUUAACCUCGGCGGGUCGGUGGAUACUGCCAGUCUUGAAGGUGCUAGGGGGGAAAUGGAAUUACCGGUGUAGCGGUGAAAUGCGUAGAUAUCGGUAGGAACACCAGUGGCGAAGGCGGUUUCCUGGGGCAUUCUUGACGCUGAGGCGCGAAAAGCUGGGGGGAGCG
rnacentral:rRNA from 1 species